rnacentral:rRNA from 1 species
UAAUACGUAGGGUGCGAGCGUUGUCCGGAAUUAUUGGGCGUAAAGAGCUCGUAGGCGGCUUGUCACGUCGGAUGUGAAAGCUCGGGGCUUAACCCCGAGUCUGCAUUCGAUACGGGCUAGCUAGAGUGUGGUAGGGGAGAUCGGAAUUCCUGGUGUAGCGGUGAAAUGCGCAGAUAUCAGGAGGAACACCGGUGGCGAAGGCGGAUCUCUGGGCCAUUACUGACGCUGAGGAGCGAAAGCGUGGGGAGCGAACAGGA